GACGUAGGGCGCGAGCGUUGUCCGGAUUUAUUGGGCGUAAAGAGCUCGUAGGCGGCUUGUCGCGUCGUCCGUGAAAACCUGCGGCUCAACUGCAGGCUGGCGGUCGAUACGGGCAGACUAGAGUUCGGUAGGGGAGACUGGAAUUCCUGGUGUAGCGGUGAAAUGCGCAGAUAUCAGGAGGAACACCGGUGGCGAAGGCGGGUCUCUGGGCCGAUACUGACGCUGAUGCGCGAAAGCCAGGGGAGCGAACGGG
rnacentral:rRNA from 1 species